UACGGGAGGCAGCAGUGGGGAAUAUUGCACAAUGGGCGCAAGCCUGAUGCAGCCAUGCCGCGUGUAUGAAAAAGGCCUUCGGGUUGUAAAGUACUUUCAGUCGUGAGGAAGGUGUUAAGGUUAAUAACCUUAGCAAUUGACGUUAGCGACAGAAGAAGCACCGGCUAACUCCGUGCCAGCAGCCGCGGUAAUACGGAGGGUGCGAGCGUUAAUCGGAAUUACUGGGCGUAAAGGGCACGCAGGCGGUUAAUUAAGUUGGAUGUGAAAUCCCCGGGCUUAACCUGGGAAUGGCAUUCAAGACUGGUUAGCUAGAGUCUUGUAGAGGGGGUAGAAUUCCAUGUGUAGCGGUGAAAUGCGUAGAGAUGUGGAGGAAUACCGGUGGCGAAGGCGGCCCCUGGACAAAGACUGACGCUCAUGUGCGAAAGCUGGGGAGCAAACAGGGAUUAGAUACCCG
rnacentral:rRNA from 1 species